CACCUCCAGGAAGCAGCAGGCACGCAAAUACCCACCCAGCUCUGGGAGGUAGUGACGAAAAAAACAAUGCGGGACUCUUCCGAGUCUGCGUAAUUGGAAUGAGCACACUUUAAAUCCUUUAGCAACAACCAAUUGGAGGGCAAGUCUGGUGCCAGCAGCCGCGGUAAUUCCAGCUCCAAUAGCGUAUAUUAAAGUUGUUGCGGUUAAAAAGCUCGUAGUUCGAUUUGAGUUGCGGACUGGUGUGGGAGGUCACCGCCCGGUGCUUGCCCGCCAGGUUCCGAACAGCUUCCGUGAGUGGAAGCCAAGCCGGUUCUGCCGGGGUGCUCUUUACCGAGUGUCCCGCGCGGCCGGCCAGUUCACCUUGAAUAAAUGAGAGUGCUCAAAGCAGGCUACUCUGGAAUACAAUGCCCGAAUGUUAGCUGCAUGGAAUGAUGGAAGAUGAUCUCGGUUGCAUUUUGUUGGUGGUGGCAGCCAGAGGUAAUGAUAAAGAGGGACUGUCGGGGGCAUCCGUACUACGACGCGAGAGGUGAAAUUCAGUGACCGUCGUAGGACGAACAACAGCGAAAGCAUUUGCCAAGAAUGUCUUCGUUGAUCAAGAACGAAAGUUAGAGGAUCGAAGGCGAUCAGAUACCGCCCUAGUUCUAACCCUAAACGAUGCUGACUAGCAAUUCGCCGUCGUUAUUCCCAUGACGUGGCGAGACGCCCCCGGGAAACCUCAAGUCUUUGAGUUCCGGGGGUAGUAUGGUUGCAAAAGUGAAACUUAAAGGAAUUGACGGAAGGGCACCACCAGGAGUGGAGCCUGCGGCUUAAUUUGACUCAACACGGGGAAGCUCACCAGGCCCGGACACCAGAAGGAUUGACAGAUUAAGAGCUCUUUCUCGAUUUGGUGGGUGGUGGUGCAUGGCCGUUCUUAGUUGGUGGAGUGAUUUGUCUGGUUAAUUC
rnacentral:rRNA from 1 species